rnacentral:rRNA from 1 species
GAGACAGCAGCCGCCGCGGGAAUACGUAGGGUGCAAGCGUUAAUCGGAAUUACUGGGCGUAAAGCGUGCGCAGGCGGUUUUGUAAGACAGAGGUGAAAUCCCCGGGCUCAACCUGGGAACUGCCUUUGUGACUGCAAGGCUAGAGUACGGCAGAGGGGGAUGGAAUUCCGCGUGUAGCAGUGAAAUGCGUAGAUAUGCGGAGGAACACCGAUGGCGAAGGCAAUCCCCUGGGCCUGUACUGACGCUCAUGCACGAAAGCGUGGGGAGCAAACAGGAUUAGAUACCCCCGUAGUCCCUGUCUCUUAUAC